UUCCCACGGGGGGCAGCAGUCGGGAAUAUUGCGCAAUGGAGGAAACUCUGACGCAGUGACGCCGCGUGCAGGAAGAAGGUUUUCGGAUUGUAAACUGCUUUAGACAGGGAAGAAAGAAAUGACGGUACCUGUAGAAUAAGCUCCGGCUAACUACGUGCCAGCAGCCGCGGUAAUACGUAGGGAGCAAGCGUUAUCCGGAUUUACUGGGUGUAAAGGGAGCGUAGACGGCAGCGCAAGUCUGGAGUGAAAUCCCAUGGCUUAACCAUGGAACUGCUUUGGAAACCGUGCAGCUAGAGUGCAGGAGG
rnacentral:rRNA from 1 species